rnacentral:lncRNA from 10 species
GAGCUGAGCAGUGCCAAGGGAUGGAUGCGCAACAGGAAGUGGAGGUGGCCAGCCCUGGAGGGGAAAAGGGGCUCCCUGCCCAGAAAGACAGUGAUGGGGGUUUCUAGAACAAGGAAACCCAGAAGGUUCCCAGAUGUCCAGGAGACAGGAAAUGAGAAUUUCAGAGCCAGCGGGAAGACAAGGUAAAUGUUUCCUAAUCCAGACAGAACAGACAGGGAACACAGAAGGUCGAGAACAGACCGGAAGGGAAGGGUUUCAGACCUAGAGAGAAAGAAAGGGAAAGCUGCUGGAUACAAAAAAAAAAAAAAAAAAAAAACCAGAAGCGACCGUCCCCAAGUCCAGAAAAAGAGACAGAAAAACCCCCACACACCCAGAAGGGGGAGAAAAUGAGGGUCUCCG